rnacentral:rRNA from 1 species
UUGAACGCUGGCGGCCGGCCUAACCCCUGCCAGUCGAACGGUAACAGGAAGAAGCUUGCUUCUUUGCUGACGAGUGGCGGACGGGUGAGUAAUGUCUGGGAAACUGCCUGAUGGAGGGGGAUAACUACUGGAAACGGUAGCUAAUACCGCAUAACGUCGCAAGACCAAAGAGGGGGACCUUCGGGCCUCUUGCCAUCGGAUGUGCCCAGAUGGGAUUAGCUAGUAGGUGGGGUAACGGCUCACCUAGGCGACGAUCCCUAGCUGGUCUGAGAGGAUGACCAGCCACACUGGAACUGAGACACGGUCCAGACUCCUACGGGAGGCAGCAGUGGGGAAUAUUGCAUAAUGGGCGCAAGCCUGAUGCAGCCAUGCCGCGUGUAUGAAGAAGGCCUUCGGGUUGUAAAGUACUUUCAGCGGGGAGGAAGGGAGUAAAGUUAAUACCUUUGCUCAUUGACGUUACCCGCAGAAGAAGCACCGGCUAACUCCGUG